rnacentral:tRNA from 1 species
CAAGUUAUAGCUUAAAUAUAAGCAUUUAAUUGUUGAUUAAAUGAUGGGUAACCUUGCUUGA